rnacentral:tRNA from 1 species
GCGGGUGUAGCUCAGUUGGUAGAGUGUCAGUUUGUGGCACUGAAGGUCGCCAGUUCAAUCCUGGUCACUCGCCCA